rnacentral:rRNA from 1 species
GUCUACAGCCGUGCCACCCUGAACAUGCCCGAUCUUGUCUGAUCUCGGAAGCUAAGCAGGGUCGGGCCUGGUUAGUACUUGGAUGGGAGACCAACUCGGAAGACCAGGUGCUGUAGGCA